rnacentral:rRNA from 1 species
AUUGAACGCUGGCGGCAGGCCUAACACAUGCAAGUCGAGCGGAUGAAGAGAGCUUGCUCUCUGAUUUAGCGGCGGACGGGUGAGUAAUGCCUAGGAAUCUGCCUGGUAGUGGGGGAUAACGUUCCGAAAGGAACGCUAAUACCGCGAACGUCCUACGGGAGAAAGCAGGGGACCUUCGGGCCUUGCGCUAUCAGAUGAGCCUAGGUCGGAUUAGCUAGUUGGUGAGGUAAUGGCUUACCAAGGCGACGAUCCGUAACUGGUCUGAGAGGAUGAGAAGUCACACUGGAACUGAGACACAGUCCAGACUCCUACGGGAGGCAGCAGUGGGGAAUUUUGGACAAUGGGCGAAAGCCUGAUCCAGCCAUGCCGGGUGUGUGAAGAAGGUGUUAGGAUUGUAAAGCACUUUAAGUUGGGAGGAAGGGCAGUAAGUUAAUACCUUGCUGUUUUGACGUUACCGACAGAAUAAGCACCGGCUAACUUCGUGCCAGCAGCCGCCGUAAAAC